GAUGAAGAACGUAGCGAAAUGCGAUACGUAGUGUGAAUUGCAGAAUUCAGUGAAUCAUCGAGUCUUUGAACGCACAUUGCGCCCCCUGGUAUUCCGGGGGGCAUGCCUGUCCGAGCGUCAUUGCUGCCCUCAAGCACGGCUUGUGUGUUGGGCCGCCGUCCCCGGUUUCCCCCGGGGACGGGCCCGAAAGGCAGCGGCGGCACCGCGUCCGAUCCUCGAGCGUAUGGGGCUUUGUCACCCGCUCUGUAGGCCCGGCCGGCGCCAGCCGACACCCAACUUUAUUUCUAAGGUUGACCUCGGAUCAGGUAGGGAUACCCGCUGAACUUAAGCAUAUCAAUAAGCGGAGGA
rnacentral:misc_RNA from 1 species